ACGGGUGAGUAACGCGUGGGAACGUGCCUUCCGGUUCGGAAUAACCCUGGGAAACUAGGGCUAAUACCGGAUACGCCCUUUUGGGGAAAGGGUUACUGCCGGAAGAUCGGCCCGCGUCUGAUUAGCUAGUUGGUGGGGUAACGGCCUACCAAGGCGACGAUCAGUAGCUGGUCUGAGAGGAUGAUCAGCCACACUGGGACUGAGACACGGCCCAGACUCCUACGGGAGGCAGCAGUGGGGAAUAUUGGACAAUGGGCGCAAGCCUGAUCCAGCCAUGCCGCGUGAGUGAUGAAGGCCUUAGGGUUGUAAAGCUCUUUUAUCCGGGACGAUAAUGACGGUACCGGAGGAAUAAGCCCCGGCUAACUUCGUGCCAGCAGCCGCGGUAAUACGAAGGGGGCUAGCGUUGCUCGGAAUCACUGGGCGUAAAGGGCGCGUAGGCGGCGUUUUAAGUCGGGGGUGAAAGCCUGUGGCUCAACCACAGAAUGGCCUUCGAUACUGGGACGCUUGAGUAUGGUAGAGGUUGGUGGAACUGCGAGUGUAGAGGUGAAAUUCGUAGA
rnacentral:rRNA from 1 species